rnacentral:rRNA from 1 species
GGAUUCAUGGAGAAGUCUGAUGGAGCAACGCCGCGUGAGUGAUGAAGGUUUUCGGAUCGUAAAGCUCUGUUGUUAGGGAAGAACAAGUACCGUUCGAAUAUGGCGGUACCUUGACGGUACCUAACCAGAAAGCCACCGCUAACUACGUGCCGGCACCCGCGGUAAUACGUAUGUGGCAAGCGUUGUCCGGAAUUAUUGGGCGUAAAGGGCUCGCGGGCGGUUUCUUAGCUCUGAUGUGAAAGCCCCCGGCUCACCCGGGGAGGGUCAUUGGAAACUGGGGAACUUGAGUGCAGAAGAAGAGAGGGAAAUUCCACGUGUAGCGGUGAAAUGCGUAGAGAUGUGGAGGAACACCAGUGGCAAAGGCCACUCUCUGGUCUGUAACUGACGCUGAGGAGCGAAAGCGUGGGGAGCGAACCCAAUUAGAUACCCCCGUAGUCCA